GACAGAGGGUGCAAACGUUGUUCGGAAUUACUGGGCGUAAAGCGUGCGCCGGCGGUUAUGCAAGACAGAUGUGAAAUCCCCGGGCUCAACCUGGGAACUGCAUUUGUGACUGCAUGGCUAGAGUGCGGCAGAGGGGGAUGGAAUUCCGCGUGUAGCAGUGAGAUGCGUAGAUAUGCGGAGGAACACCGAUGGCGAAGGCAAUCCCCUGGGCCUGCACUGACGCUCAUGCACGAAAGCGUGGGGAGCAAACAGG
rnacentral:rRNA from 1 species